UAUCCAUAUUCUUAUUUUUGCCAUUUUACAGAUAAGGUAACUAGAGGCUGGGGAUCUAAAGCUGCUUUACCAAGGUCACAUGGUAAACCGCUAUAAGCUGGAGAGUGAAGCCAAGAGCUCUGUAAUCCCAGGCGAGACCUCCUCUGUUCUGUCUCUUCCCCUCAGCUGGGAAAAUGUCAAAGGAUUUAUCAAAAACAGCCUGCAGCUAGAUUAGGUUGCAGGGAGAAUCUAAAAGCAGUAAUUCUACCUAACAGUGGUCUCAGAUUUGCCAUCCCAGGACCCAUGAAAGCAGCAGAAUGUCACUGGAAGACAUCUGGAGAAAUUGGAAAGAAGAACAGUAUUAAGUGCAUCACCAACCAAAUGCAAAUGAACAAAAUGAACGUCCACCUCCCUGUGCAACAAUGGCAGAGGCGGUUUGCCGGUGUCAGGUAUAUUUGAAUAUGUUACUGACUUACAUGGCACACGAUGUGAUUGAUGCAGGUACUACAUUACAAACCACGGUGGUCUGUUCCAUUGGAACAUGGAUUUGAAAGACUAUUGUUGUUCUUGGUGAGACCUUUUUGACUCCUUUCUGCUUGUACACUUCUUUUUUUUUUUUCCAAAGCAGAUGAUGGGGACUAAUGUCGCAGCCCCUGAACAAAAGGAUUGAAAAAUUUGGACUUUAUUCCUGGCCCAGUCAUACAAUGUUCUCCUCCCUAGACCAUGUUGAUUUUUGUCUGUUCAUUUGUUUGUUUUUCUCUUUCAGGUAAGACUUAAGCCCAUGGUUUUUUUAGAGGUCACUUAAUGUGGUAGAAAGAACACCAGCUUUGGGGUCAGCAAAAUCUGAGUGGUGGUCCUGAUUGUGCCAUGAAUAUGGUGUGAGACUUUAGGCAAAUUAUUUAUUCUUUUGGAGAUUCAGAGUCUUAUCUGAAAAAUGGAAAUCAGAUCGCCCACCUUGCAGAACUGUUUGUGAGAAUUUAAUUAAACUUCAUAAAUAUAGUGACCAGCACAGUAUAAGUUACAUUGUA
rnacentral:lncRNA from 1 species